rnacentral:rRNA from 1 species
AGCGAACGCUGGCGGCAGGCCUAACACAUGCAAGUCGAACGGCUCUUCGGAGCAGUGGCGGACGGGUGAGUAACGCGUGGGAACGUGCCCUUUGGUUCGGAACAACACAGGGAAACUUGUGCUAAUACCGGAUGAGCCCUUCGGGGGAAAGAUUUAUCGCCAUUGGAGCGGCCCGCGUUGGAUUAGGUAGUUGGUGGGGUAAAGGCCCACCAAGCCGACGAUCCAUAGCUGGUCUGAGAGGAUGAUCAGCCACACUGGGACUGAGACACGGCCCAGACUCCUACGGGAGGCAGCAGUGGGGAAUCUUGCGCAAUGGGCGAAAGCCUGACGCAGCCAUGCCGCGUGAAUGAUGAAGGUCUUAGGAUUGUAAAAUUCUUUCACCGGGGAAGAUAAUGACGGUACCCGGAGAAGAAGCCCCGGCUAACUUCGUGCCAGCAGCCGCGGUAAUACGAAGGGGGCUAGCGUUGCUCGGAAUUACUGGGCGUAAAGGGCGCGUAGGCGGACAGUUUAGUCAGAGGUAAAAGCCCAGGGCUCAACCUUGGAACUGCCUUUGAUACUGGCUGUCUUGAGUUCGGGAGAGGUGAGUGGAAUGCCGAGUGUAGAGGUGAAAUUCGUAGAUAUUCGGCGGAACACCAGUGGCGAAGGCGACUCACUGGCCCGAUACUGACGCUGAGGCGCGAAAGCGUGGGGAGCAAACAGG